AGAACUGCCUGCCUGGCUUCCGCUUUGUGUUGAACCCAGGGUAGCUAUGCCUGGGCUGUCAGAUGGCUACAUUCCACUUGUGGCUCAGUGGCCGCUGGUCCUAGACUUGUAGCCCUGCCUCUUCCCACGUGACCAGUCUCACCGGGCCAAGGCUAGAGCUAUGAGAGGAGGUGGGGAGCAACUGCUGAAAUAGGGAGGAUUACCAGGCUCAUGAUCGCUAGGGCUACAGCUUUAAGGAGACCUGUGUCUGGAGCUGCUGCAUGUAGGGACCCUCAGCCUGUUCUCCUGUUUCCUAAGGAAAUGCCCAAGGACCUUUACUACUACUCUUGGAGAGGCAGGAUAGGGGAGGGCAGCCUUAAGGCUGAUUGCCUGGGUUCAAAGUCUGGGCUUCCUGCUUGCUGGCUGUGCAUGUGUAACUUUAGGAUGCUGCACUGAGUUUGUUACCUCUCCUCAGUAUCUUCCCAUCUCUGCUGGUUCCAGUCUUUGUCUCUCAGGACUCGGGACUUGUGAAGAGUACUCGGCAGGCAUGCUGUGGAAUGUUUCUCAACUUGAGUUUGAUGUUUUUCAUUUGAUUAGACUGAAGUUAUGGAUUUGGGGAAAGAAUAUCACAAUGUCAUAUGCCUUCUCAUUUGGGGAUACAUGGUAGAGAUGUGUUUUAUCGCAGGUGACAUCAAUCUUGAUCACCUGGCUGAAGUGGUAUCUACCAGUUUCUCCAAAGUAAAGUUACUCAUUUUUCCUUUCCACACACAUAGUGUUACAGGAUUGCCGCGUUCUUGUCUCACGGAAUUGAAGAAUGAAUCUUAAGGACACAAAAGGGUGAAAUGAAGUGAGUUUGUUAAGUGAAGGGGGGAGGGAAACAGAAAAGAGAAAAAAAGUUCUCUAGAGUGAGAGGGGUCUCGAAUGGGUUGCCACUGUGAGCUUUCACUGGCAGUCUUUUUGAGAACUGACUAGGAAACUUAAAUCUUCUUGAUGUCUCUACCACUGAGCACUAUGUUUACUUUUUCUUUGAAGCUUUGUAAUUUUCAGUGGUCCAGCUGUAGCUGUUAUAUAGAUAUCUUGUCUCUGAUAAAUGAGACAAACGAGGUAGUCUCAUUAAUCUCAUUAUAUUCACUUAUCUCUGGUUUUGUAUGCCUUAACAUUUUCCACAUCUGGGAUUUUUAUGAACCUGAAUUCCUAGCCCCCUGUGUGAGGCUAGUCAUGUAGCUGCCUACCUAUCUCUCCCCAGCUAGCUCCAGCUGUCCCUUACUAAGUAAGAUACAUAUUUUUUUUUUCUUAAGUAGGCUCCAUGUCCAGUGUGGAGCCCAACAUGGGGCUUGAACUCAUGGUCCUGAGAUCAAUACCUAAGUUGAGAUCAAGGGUUGGUGCCCCCACAUAGAAUAUUUUAAAUCUGUAUGAGCACCUUGCAGGUUUGAUUAGCAUUAUUUUACAUGAGGAAACUUGAGACAUCUGCUGUAAUUUUACAGUGAAGUCAUGGAAAGCUCACAGAACUUUAGAAAUUAUCUCUUCUUCAACAAAUGGGGAAGCCAAGGCCUGGAGAAAUUAAAUGACAUGGCCAAGAUCAGUCAGCUACAGAACCAAGCUAUACCCCAGGUUUUCUGAUUUCUAGGGAGGGACUUGAAUGUGUAACUAGGACUCCAAUAAUGUGAGCUAGGCUUAAGAUCUCUGGAUCCUUGCAUAUAAGUAGUGAGGGCUCCCCUUCCCUUAGCUCUGACUAGAGAGGAAUCUAAUACCACAGCCCUGCUGGAAACAACUGUCAAGAAGCAGCUGUCGAAUUCUGGCUGGCCUUUCUGUGGCACUGUAGUCUUUUGCGAGGCUGGUCAUAAGACAGGCAGAUCGGAUAUCAGAUGCCAUCCUUUAUUUCUCCUAGAAUGCUAAUUAUAUGGCCUCCACUGUCUGUGGUUAAUAUGGUAAUCUGUUUCUAGUGGAGUUGCUGGUGGCUUUCUAUGUCCUGGGCUGAGAAGUUAUUUUAGUCUGGAGUGCUGCCCCUGGAAUUUAUAUGCAAGGUAUUCAGAAGGUUUGAUAGGUGGAAAUCUUACGAGACCAGUGCUCUAACUCCUGAGCUACGGAGCCAGAUAUGUGGAAAUCUUAAAAGCAGAGUGGAAAGGUUGAUAACUGUCAUAGGAAUUUCAUGUCCCAGAAGGCUGUUAGGAUGGUAAAUUAUGGGUGAAAAACCAUAAAGCUCCAGGUAUAUCUAUUUUAACUGUGUUUCCACUGCCUAUCAUUAUGAUAAUCCAAUACGGAGAGAGGUAUAAAAAAGUGAAAGAACCCUGCCCACAGACCAAACUGCAGAAUUGCAGUCUUCUCUAUGGCUCUGGUGAUCAGAUUCACUGUUUUGUUGUUGUUGUUUAAGGUUUUUAUUUAUUCAUUUGAGAGAGAAAGAGAGUGCACGAGCGUUCGAGUGGAGGGGAGAGGCGUAGGGAGAGGGAGAAGCAGACUCCCCACUGAGCAGGGAGCCCCACACAGGCUGAUACCAGGACCUGGAGAUCAGGACCUGAGCUGAAGGCAGACACUUAGCUGACUGAGCCAUGCAGGCAUCCCAGGAUUCACUGGUUUUAGUUGACCAGGACACAGGGCUCAGCACAACUUUAAGACAAACUCUUGGCGACAAUCUGUACUUUAUUCUCAAGGGAGCCUUUAGGAGAAUGGCCUGAUCUGAUAUUGGCCCUGGUCGUGUUGACACAUGGGAGUUCACCUAUUCUGAAGUGAGCUGUGCCCAGAACAUAGUCCUAUCCAUCAAUCUCAAGUGCACCCAGCCUCCUUGGACAGAGAAUGUCUUGGUAUCUAGUCAAACUGGAACCAAAUCUUGGGAUCACUCUUAGGAACCGAUCAUUUCAGAUUUACCAGAGCCAGGAUCUUCUGGGUAACUCAGAUCUGGGAAGAGAAGGAUGGUGCUCAAGCCGGCCUUCCAAAUGCGUGAAGGACUUUCUCUGGCUCCUGUACGGGUCAUCUGCCCUAAAUAAAUGCCCCCAUCAACAUGUAAACAUGUAUUCUGUUUCUUAAUGUGAAGCCUCCUGAAGGCUCCUUGGUCAGCUCCUGUCGUCAGGUGAGACCUCCAUGGUGACACAGCUGCAAAGUGCUGCCAUGGCGUGGGUAUGGAGGGCCGGGGUGGGGCGGGGGGGGGGGGGGCUGGCUCUCAGAGUGUGACAACUCAAGGGCUUUGCAACUUGGUGUGCAUUAAAUUGAACACAACCCAAGUAAGUUGAAAACAAAGACCUUUUCAUUACUUGUUACAGUAAGGAGACAGGAAGAUAGCUCUCAGAGUACUGUCUUCCUGUGGGGUUAGUACAAGAAGCCUUUAUUCGGUGUAUUAGGGGGCAGGGCAGGGAGCUUAUAUAUAUAUUAAGAAACUUAGAGAUAUUCUGUGCUUAGGCACUUUGGGUCAAUGGAGCAUGCCCAGCAGGUCAACAUGCUAGUGCCUACACUGUAUGUUCAAAAAAUGGCAGAAAACAGCCCAUAGGAGAUCUUAAUAUUAUAAUAAUAAGCUACACUUAACUUUAGGAGAAUUCAGGGGGGGCUUCUAUGGCAAGUCCUCAGCUCCAAACUGGCCUAAACUGGCUCACAUAAGAGGCAUAGCUGGAGAAACACCAAGCUGAGGAGUCUCCUUGGCGGGCUGCUGGCUCUGCAAGACAAAACACAUUACUUCCCUGUUUUUUUCCUUCACCCUCUUCCCUUCUGCUGAUGGCUUUCAGCCCUCAGAUCUGAGUAAUUCCCCUUUGCAUCCCAGCCAAAAAGAGGAUGGGAUUUGUAUUCCUGAAGUAGAGGACUUGGCAUGGCCCUGCGCUGCUCAGGUGAAGAAGACCUUAUCUGAGGAACAUUCUAAAGUGGUCUGCAGUAUUAGAAACAAGAGUGAAGAACAGGAAGAUGGAGACGAUAAGGAAGAAGGUUCAUAGAGUGAUUGAAAAAUACUUCAGGGAAAUUCCAGACCAAGAUGGCAACAUUUAAGAGGCCCCUGAAUUUCCUUCCUUCCAUGGAUGCACUGAAUGUAAAGCUACAUGUGGAGCAAUUCCCUUUUAGCAAUACAGAAACUAGCUGAGUGACUCUUGUAUAUCGGGUGACUGAAGAAAUAGCCGUAUCAAAUCAGGUAGGAAAGGCUGAAACACGGUAACUUCCACCCCCACCAGGACAGUGCUAUACUGUUGGGAGGGGAACUCCCAACUCCCAACUUCUCUCUGAGAAGAGUGAAAAGUUUGGACAACACUUCUGUUGCCCCAGUUUUAAGGCCCCCAUCUGAGGUAUGGACCCCAACCAAUCAGUAAUUACUUUAAGUGUAUUUGAACUAAAUUCUCCAAUCAAUAGAGAUAGAGUUGAUGAAUGGUUACAAAGUCAAGACCCAACUAUAUGUUGCCUAUAAGAGACCCACUUCAGCUUUAAGGACGCAUACAGACUGAAAGUGAAGGUAUGGAAAAUGAUAUUCCAUAGAAAUGGAGACCAGAAAAAAAAAAAAAAGCAGGGAUAGCUAAUAUUUAUAACAGACAAAACAGACUUUA